GCCCGUUGAUCCUGCGGGAGGUCGCUGCUAUUAGGAUUCGAUUUAGCCAUGCAAGUCAGGUAGCAAUACCGGCGAAAUGCUCAGUAACACGUCGAUAAUCUACCCUUAGGUCUGGCAUAACCUCGGAAAACUGAGGAUAACACCGGAUAACUGAAAUUUUCUGGAAUGAUUUUUCAGUCAAAAGCAAUGCCUAAGGAUGAGUUGGCGGUGGAUUAGGUUGUUGGCGGGGUAAAGGCCCACCAAGCCGAUGAUCCAUAGGGGCCGUGAGAGCGGGAGCCCCGAGAAGGACACUGAGAUACUGGUCCUAGCCCUAAGGGGUGCAGCAGGCGCGAAACCUUUACAAUGCACGAAAGUGUGAUAAGGGAAUCCUAAGUGCUUAUACUUUGUAUAGGCUUUUGUUAAGAGUAAAAAUCUUAGCGAAUAAGUGGUGGGCAAGACUGGUGCCAGCCGCCGCGGUAACACCAGCGCCACAAGUGGGGACCACAUUUAUUGGGCCUAAAGCGUCCGUAGUCGGUUAGAUAAAUCUUUUGUGAAAUCACAGGGCUUAACCCUGUGGCGUGCAAAAGAGACUGUUCAACUCGGAACCGGGAGGGGUGAGGAGAAUUCUUUGGGUAGCGGUAAAAUGUUAUAAUCCUUAGAAGACUGCCCGUGGCGAAGGCGCCUCACUAGAACGGAUUCGACGAUGAGGGACGAAAGCUAGGGGAGCGAUCCGGAUUAGAUACCCGAGUAGUCCUAGCUGUAAACUCUGCGAGCUAGGUGUUGCAUUUUCUUCGUGAAUGUGCAGUAUCGAAGCGAAGGCGAUAAGCUCGCCGCCUGGGAAGUAUGGUCGCAAGACUGAAACUUAAAGGAAUUGGCGGGGGAGCACAACAAGGGGUGCGGCGUGCGGUUUAAUCUAAUUCCACGCAGAGAAUCUCACCAGAAGCGACGGCAGGAUGAAAGUCAGAUUAAAGGUCUUACUUUACGAGCCGAGAGGUAGUGCAUGGCCGCCGUCAGCUCGUGCCGUGAGGUGUCCUCUUAAGUGAGGCAACGAGCGAGACCUGCACUUACAAUUGCCAGCGACUUAUUUAUAAGGAUUGGGCACAUUGUAAGGACUGCCUUGGAAACAAGGAGGAAGGUGCAGGCAACGGUAGGUCUGUAUGCUCCGAAUCUUCUGGGCUACACGCGCGCAACAAUGGUAUGAACAAUGGGACACAACUCCGAAAGGAGAAGUUAAUCCUCUAAAUCAUAUCUUAGUUUAGAUUGAGGAUUGUAACUCAUCCUCAUGACACCGGAAUCCCUAGUAAUCGUUCCUCAUCAUAGAACGGUGAAUAUGUCCCUGCUCCUUGCACACACCGCCCGUCAAACCACUCGAGCAGGGUUUAGGUGAGUACUAACUCUUUGGUCAGUCCGAACCUAAGCUCAGUGAGAUGGGUUAAGUCGUCACAAGGUA
rnacentral:rRNA from 1 species